rnacentral:rRNA from 1 species
UACGUAGGGUGCAAGCGUUGUCCGGAAUUAUUGGGCGUAAAGGGCUCGUAGGCGGUUUGUCGCGUCGGGAGUGAAAUCCACUGGCUUAACUGGUGGCUUGCUUUCGAUACGGGCAGACUGGAGGUAUGCAGGGGAGAACGGAAUUCCUGGUGUAGCGGUGAAAUGCGUAGAUAUCUGGAGGAACACCGGUGGCGAAGGCGGCAUCCUGGACCAACACUGACGCUGAGGAGCGAAAGCCAGGGGAGCAAACGGG